rnacentral:rRNA from 1 species
UCCUGGACAACAUUGACAAUUUGACCUCAAAUCAGGUAGGAUUACCCGCUGAACUUAAGCAUAUCAAUAAC